rnacentral:rRNA from 1 species
GUGGGGAAUAUUGGACAAUGGGCGAAAGCCUGAUCCAGCCAUGCCGCGUGUGUGAAGAAGGUCUUCGGAUUGUAAAGCACUUUAAGUUGGGAGGAAGGGCAGUAAGUUAAUACCUUGCUGUUUUGACGUUACCGACAGAAUAAGCACCGGCUAACUUCGUGCCAGCAGCCGCGGUAAUACGAAGGGUGCAAGCGUUAAUCGGACUUACUGGACGUAAAGCGCGCGUCGGUGGUUUUGUAAGUUGGAGGUGAAAUCCCCGGGCUCAACCUGGGAACUGCCUCCAAAACUGCAUGACUAGAGUACGGUAGAGGGUAGUGGAAUUUCCUGUGUAGCGGUGAAAUGCGUAGAUAUAGGAAGGAACACCAGUGGCGAAGGCGACUACCUGGACUGAUACUGACACUGAGGUGCGAAAGCGUGGGGAGCAAACAGGAUUAGAAACCCCAGUAGUCC